CCAAAUUCAAGGGUGUGAGGCGAGCGGCUUAGGCCGCGAAGCAAUCGGAAGUGGUUCCAAGAAAAGCCUCUAAGCUUCAGUCUAACAAGACCGUACCGCAAACCGACACAGGUGGGCGAGAUGAGUAUUCUAAGGCGCUUGAGAGAACUCGGGAGAAGGAACUCGGCAAAUUGGUACCGUAACUUCGGGAUAAGGUACGCCCUUGUAGCUUGACUGGCCUGCGCCAGGAGGGUGAGAGGGUUGCAAUAAACUGGUGGCUGCGACUGUUUAAUAAAAACACAGCACUCUGCAAACACGAAAGUGGACGUAUAGGGUGUGACGCCUGCCCGGUGCCGGAAGAUUAAAUGAUGGGGUGCAAGCUCUUGAUUGAAGUCCCGGUAAACGGCGGCCGUAACGAUAACGGUCCUAAGGUAGCGAAAUUCCUUGUCGGGUAAGUUCCGACCUGCACGAAUGGCGUAACGAUGGCCACACUGUCUCCUCCCGAGACUCAGCGAAGUUGAAGUGUUUGUGAUGAUGCAAUCUCCCCGCGGCUAGACGGAAAGACCCCAUGAACCUUUACUGUAGCUUUGCAUUGGACUUUGAACCGAUCUGUGUAGGAUAGGUGGGAGGCUAUGAAACCGGAACGCUAGUUUCGGUGGAGCCGUCCUUGAAAUACCACCCUGGUUUGUUUGAGGUUCUAACCUUGGUCCGUUAUCCGGACUGGGGACAGUGCAUGGUAGGCAGUUUGACUGGGGCGGUCUCCUCCCAAAGUGUAACGGAGGAGUACGAAGGUACGCUAGGUACGGUCGGAAAUCGUGCUGAUAGUGCAAUGGCAUAAGCGUGCUUAACUGCGAGACCGACAAGUCGAGCAGGUGCGAAAGCAGGUCAUAGUGAUCCGGUGGUUCUGUAUGGAAGGGCCAUCGCUCAACGGAUAAAAGGUACUCUGGGGAUAACAGGCUGAUACCGCCCAAGAGUUCAUAUCGACGGCGGUGUUUGGCACCUCGAUGUCGGCUCAUCUCAUCCUGGGGCUGUAGCCGGUCCCAAGGGUAUGGCUGUUCGCCAUUUAAAGAGGUACGUGAGCUGGGUUUAAAACGUCGUGAGACAGUUUGGUCCCUAUCUGCCGUGGGCGUUGGAUAUUUGAAGGGGGCUGCUCCUAGUACGAGAGGACCGGAGUGGACGAACCUCUGGUGUACCGGUUGUCACGCCAGUGGCAUCGCCGGGUAGCUAUGUUCGGAAGAGAUAACCGCUGAAAGCAUCUAAGCGGGAAACUCGCCUUAAGAUGAGAUAUCCCCGGGGACUUGAUCCCCUUGAAGGGUCGUUCUAGACCAGGACGUUGAUAGGUCAGGUGUGGAAGUCAGAAAAAAA
rnacentral:rRNA from 1 species